GCCUUGGUGGAUCAAUUGGCAGAUCAUCCCAGCUUUAUAGCUCGUUCUUCAGAGAAUAUACAGGAAGGCGGAGGUUCGAAUCCUCCCCGAGUCA